GCAGCAGGUUGGCCGAAGAGACAAGAGAGUGAAAUUGUAAUAAUGUGGGUGGGACCCACUUGGAUUUUUGGGCAAAAUGUUCUUUGAAUUUGGUUCCUUCACGUGAUUGUUUGAUGGAGGGGAAAUGAGAUGAAAAGAAUUGUAAAGAUAAUGUGAGCAGUGAGCUCCACGUGGGUUUGUUGGUGGAAUGGCCUUUAAAUAAGAUAUAUGAGUUUGGGUUUGCAUGCGGAAAGCAAAAGAGAAAAAUUAGAGAAGGUAGAAGGGAGAGCCGAGAUAGAGAAAGAGAGAGAAACAGAGAGCGAGUUUUGAAGAAAGACAGUGAGUUUGAGAGAGAAAAAUAGAGUGAAGUCAGACAGAGAGUUUGAGGAAAGACAGAGGAGCCGAGAGUUGCAGAGUAGGUCAGAGCUUGAAGAUUUAAUGAUUCAGUGGAGAAUUAUUCUUUUUCAGUUUUCAGGUACUGAAGAUGGACGAGGAUCGUAGAUUUGGGCUUAGGCUGAAGAGUUGGCGUGGAGGAUUUAUUUUAUUUAAUUGGAGAAUUUUGUAUAUAUUUAAGGAAAUUGACUUUGUAUAAAAAGAGAGCAUUUUUUUAUGAUCCUAGGUGUAUUUUGAUGGAUUUGGACUCAUAUAAAUCUGGGAUUUUAUUAGAAAAUCCGGGGCGUGAUACAUCUCCUAUUUAGUGUUGGGAGUUUGUUUUGAAUUGCUACCCAAAGAGUGAAGUUAUGCAUUGGAAUAGAGGCAUUGGACCAUAUCAAAUUUGCCCAAGGUAGGGAGGGAAUUUGGUGGAAUUGGUGUUUCAGAGUUGAAGCAAUUAAGAAGUUGCCUGUGGGGGAUGGACCGCAAAUGAACUUGUCUUUCCUAUGAUGGUUGGGGGAUAGAAGAGUGGAAAAACACUGCAAUUGGGGAAGUAAAUAAGUUAUAGCACUUGGGAAAGACUAUGUGGAGGCUGUGAUGAAUGAGCAAAGCUUUGUCUUACUGUCAUACCCUGACUCAUUAAUUUGUUAUGGGGAGACAAGGAGGUGAAGGGGCUCAAGAAGGCACCAAUUAUCAAAACAAAAAUUUGUUUCUUCCAUCUCCAAUUUUCAAAUUGAUAAGAGGCUUGAUUUUCUCCCUGAGGCUCAAAAUCUUCCUCCAACUCUAAGAACAUUGCCCAGGUAUCUUCACCUCCCAAAUACUUCUUCCUUUAAGUAAGUAGGUUUCAAUUCAUUAUACCUAUAGCAUUUCUUUUGAACUGUUAAUUCUCCAAAAGUGUUUCAUGAUGGCAAUUUCAUUCCAAGAAGCUAGGUUAGGCAGCCCAAGACCCCCUAACCUCUUAGGAAGACAACAUUUCUCUCAAAUAACUUUCCCACCAAUCUUUUUAAGAGCUGGGCCAGUCCAUAAGAAGGAUCUGAAAAUGCCCUCUAAUUCAUGAAUGAUGCUCAUUGGAAGAACAAAUUUCGAACUCCAAUACAUCUGUGUUGAAAAAAGCACAGCCUUGAUCAGUUGAAUUUACCUGCAGAAGAAAGGUUUUUGCUUGUCCAGUGGCUGAUUCUUGAGGUUAUUUUGUUAAUAAAAACCCUGUAAUCAGUAGCCUUCAGCAUGGUAGUUAUAAGAGGAACACCAAGGUAUUUUAUUGGCAGAUCACCCUUUUGGAAACCAAAGAGAUCAAGGAUGUGAGCCUCUAAAUUAACAGGAAUGCCAGUAAGGAAAACGUUGCUUUUCCCAUGGUUAAUUUGUAAACCAGAGAUAGAAGAGAAUGUUUCUAGGCAGUGCUUGAUGGUUUGAAGAGAUUGGAUACUUCCAUGAGAAAAAAGCAUGAGAUCAUCUGCAAAGAUUAGGUGGGUAAGGUUUAGCUUUUUGCAUCUCCAAUGGUGCUUGAAUGGUAUUUCUUUGGUGAUUUUAGUGACAAUGAGGGAAAAAACUUGCAUGACAAUGAGGGAAAAGACUUGCAUGACUAUGACAAAAAGGAAUGGUGAGAGGGGGUCUCCUUGUCUCAGUCCUUUGAUACUCUUGAAGUGGCCAUUGAGUUCCCCAUUGAUGGAAAUAAAAAAGGAUGGUGUUGAUACACAAAUAUGAAUCUAUUGCAAGAAUGUAAGAGGAAAUCCAAAAAGUUUGAGAGAGUCCAGUAGGAAUUCCCAAGAGACAGUAUCAAAAGCUUUCCUUAAAUCAAUAUUGAGUGCACAUUUAGGAGAGUUGGUUUGCUUAUGGUAACCAUUGAGUAGCUCUUGGGCAAGAAGGAUGUUAUCAUCAAUUUGCCUGCCUUGAAUAAAAGCAUAUUGUGCAGGACCAAUGAUGUGGGGUAAGAUUGGUUUAAUCUUGUUGGCUAAGAGUUUGGAUAUACAUUUGUAAAUGGUAUUACAAUAAGAUAUUGGUCUAAAGUCAUUGGGAGUUGAGGGAUUGGAUGAUUUUGGCAUAAGUGCAAUGUAUGUGGAGUUGAUUUGUUUGAGAAGUUUACCAUUGACAAAGAAGUCUCUGAUUGCCUUGGUGACAUCCCUGCCUAUAAUUCGCCAUGCUUUCUUAAAAAAGAAAGCAUUGUAGCCAUCAGGACCAGGAGAUUUAUCACUGCUUAGUGAAUGCAUACAGUUUUGGAUCUCUUCAUUAGAUGGAAUGGAGCACAAUGAUGUGAAAAAAUGUGGUGGGACAGAAGCUUGUAUGAAAGGUAUAAGUGAUUCAAUACCUGGGUAGGGAUGGUGAUUCAUCCCUAAGGCAGUAUGAAAAUGAGCAAUCAGUUCCUAAUUUAUAUCAGCUUCAGUUUCCAGUAAAGAACCAUUGGUAUCUUUGAUAACUGUCAUUUUGUUCCUGUUGCAUCAAGAUGCAAUUGAUUUGUAGAAAUAAGCAGUGUUCUAGUCUCCAUCCUUUAGCCAUUGGAUCCUCGACUUUUGCCUGUAUGUCUACUCUUCAUUGAUUCUGAGACUGAUGUAGGAUGAGAGGAGUUAUCUUUCCUUGCAUCUGAGGUUGGUAUCAUUUGGCAUUGUAUCACUGCUGAGUAAAAGUUGAACGCUACAUCUCUGGCAAUUUUGACUGAAUCACUAAAUAGGUGGAGGGAGAAGUAAGCUUUUGUCCAUCAAUUAACAAAUCAGUUUUUUUUUUUUUU